GGGGAUGUGCUGGAACUGGCAGACAGGCAUGACUUAGGAUCAUGUGCCGCAAGGCGUGUGGGUUCGACUCCCACCAUCCUCA
rnacentral:tRNA from 1 species